rnacentral:rRNA from 1 species
GAGUUUGAUCCUGGCUCAGGAUGAACGCUAGCGGCAGGCCUAACACAUGCAAGUCGAGGGGUAACAGAGAAGCUUGCUUCUGCUGACGACCGGCGCACGGGUGCGUAACGCGUAUGCAACCUACCUCAUACAGGAGAAUAGCCCUUGGAAACGAGGAUUAAUACUCCAUAGUAUCAUUCUUUCGCAUGUUAGAAUGAUUAAAGAAUUUCGGUAUGAGAUGGGCAUGCGUCCCAUUAGCUUGUUGGUGAGGUAACGGCUCACCAAGGCAACGAUGGGUAGGGGGCCUGAGAGGGUGGUCCCCCACACUGGUACUGAGACACGGACCAGACUCCUACGGGAGGCAGCAGUGAGGAAUAUUGGUCAAUGGAGGAAACUCUGAACCAGCCAUGCCGCGUGAAGGAUGACGGCCCUAUGGGUUGUAAACUUCUUUUAUAUGGGAAGAAACUUAUCUACGUGUAGAUAACUGACGGUACCAUACGAAUAAGGAUCGGCUAACUCCGUGCCAGCAGCCGCGGUAAUACGGAGGAUCCAAGCGUUAUCCGGAUUCAUUGGGUUUAAAGGGUCCGUAG